UCACCUCUGUAUUUUAUAUUUGUUGCUUCUUUUGAUGUUCCUUCUAGUAUAUCCUUUGUAUUCAUGACGUGCUCCACGAGUUUGUAUAUUCGAAUAUUUGUUCUGAAUUCAACAAUUAUGUAUGUUUUGCAGUAUCAUGUCAUCAGAGAAUUAUUGCUUGUUGUUAAAAGAAGUUAUUGGGGCAAAGUUUCAAGUUUUACGUUUACCGAGUUGGUUGGUGCACAUUUUAAAUGAUCUAACCGUUACUACUAGCUAACCGUUACUACUAGCUAACCGCUAGCUCUGGCAGAGCGGCUGCCACAGCCACAUAUAUGACUCAGUGGGAAUUGCCUUUUUUUCUACUACUUUUUACCACAGGCUCUGUGAUUUGGUAAUCGUUAUUUUUUUGUGUAACUUGUAUUUCACGUAGUAACCUAAUAAAUGCAAAUGUGGGCUAAGCUAGCUGCCUUACGCUAACAUGUUCUCGUAUCUUAUUUUUAGUGAACCGGCGGUGCGUUUGAAAAAUAAGAGCGGAGAUGUGAGCUGAGUUUCAUCACAUCACAAAUGUCAACCUGCGAAAACAGUUUUAUUUUGACCUGGAUAGACAGACGCAGAGGAUGCUGAUCUUUUUGAGACAGAAGGCAGCACGAACCGGAAGGCUCUAUGCGACAUUCUGCACCUCUAUGAUAAACAGCAAGAACAGACUGCUGAUGUCAAAGGUACUCCUGUCCUGUACUGGCUUCCCAUAUACAAACGUGAGGAGGACCCACAGUUUUUCAAAGUUUGGAAUAUUAAAGAGUCACCAGAGCCAGACAUCAGCAGCACCUCUGUUGGCAUUCUGACCGUCAGCAACAACAAUACAAGUUCAGUGCAUUUCUGUCCGCUCCGUACAGCAGUUGUGGUGGAAGAUGAGCUUGUGGUAGGCGAAAUUCCCAAAUGGGUAUUUUUUUGAGCGCUAAUGUUUAUAGGGAAAGGGCAGCCUAAGAAAAUGCUGUUUUAUGUGGGAAAAGUGUAAAAAAAAAAAA